GGACGUAAGGACAAUCUGGCCACAACAUCUGUCAACCCAUUGAUGGCCAGGGUUGAUUUCUCUGGUCUGGCUGGCUAGGCAGGUGUCCUCUUCCUCUCUCAGUGCUCCAUGUGCAUCCUUCUGUAAGUUGCAUGCUUGGUUUAAGAGGAUGAUCACCCCGAUGGAGGAGGACCAUUUCCUAGGUCAAGGGUAUGCCCAUAGGUGCACUUCCCUACUUGAACCUCCAAAGAAGCACUCCAAAUGCCCCACCCCCAUAUCUGGAAUGCUUUUUUACCUAAAUUCGUUGUAGGCAGUUUCAUGUACCUCUUUAAAAACAAAACAAAACACACUUUCAGUG
rfam:Heterocephalus glaber contig115718, whole genome shotgun sequence.